AUGACUAUACUUUCAGGAUCAUUUCUAUAGUAUGUUAUUAGAGAAGUGAGAUUGAAAGUGAUGAGAUGGCUUAAUGAGUCUAUCCCAGA
rnacentral:snoRNA from 1 species